GGAAGAGUCUCGCUCCCGGUGGGGCGGCUGAACUUCAAAUUCAGAUGGGGCCGCCAGCGGUCCCGGGAGGGUUCGACUCCCUUACUCUUCCG
rnacentral:tRNA from 1 species